AGUAAAUCACCAUCGAUUGAGAGAGUCAAUCAAAACCACCAUCCUUCACCUCUAUUCUCGCUCACUUACGAAACAAAACUUGUUGUCUUUGACAACCUUUUUAACAAUAAGAUUUGGUGGAUUCCAAUCUUAUCAUUUGGUAUCAGAGCACAGGUUUUUAUCAAAGCUCUGCGAGGUAAACAUUAAGGAGAAGCCUCCAUGGGAGAUUCAGAGGAAGAAGAUCCUUACCAAGCCUAUGAAGACACUUGGAGUGGAGGAGAAGAAGAGCAAAUCUUCAUUGAAGAGGAUGAGGCACCAACAUGGGUAGGAGAUGACUACUAAGCUCUGAGUAUGGAGAAGAGUUUAAACCAGAGCCACAAGAUUGUAGUCAAGACGACACUGACCAAUCGAUAUGGUCCAGAGAAGAGGAAACCGACCAAGAAUACAAUAUAAAGAAAACCAUGAAAAGAUGCUUGGUGUGGAGAGACUGAAUCUCAUAUCAAUCUAGAAGGAGAAGACUACGAAAGUGAACAAGAUCAUGGAGAGAAAAAGAUCAGUUCGUGGGGCCAUACCAAAAGCCUUGGUGUGAAGAAACAGAUUCUCAAAUCAGAUAAGAAGAUGGCGAGCAGUUUGAUGAAGAGCCUUGGAACUAUGAGUCUGAGCCGGAAGAUGGUUAUGUUGAUGAGUAAGAGUUUAAAGAGGAGGCUAUAGAACCAGGCAGAGAGCACAUCAACCACUAGAGAACCAUGUGAUGCAUCAGUUGUAGAUGAAGAAGACCUUGAACCACAUCACAUUUGUUUUUCAGUUCAUAACCAAGGUUCAAAAGCUUAUCUAAUACGGGAGAGAGACAUGUGAAUUGGUUUCAAGCCAAAAACAUUCUUGAGAAAGAGAAAACAUCUUAUGCAGAAGAUACUCUAACCGAGGAGGCAUUUAGACAUUAUGAUCAAGAUGCAUACCUUCGGCUUGAAUGUGAAGCACCAGAAUCCUCUUGGGAAGAGAUGAAGCAGCUCUUACAUGACGAGUUUGAAGAAGACAUUUCAGGCAACCGACAAAGGAACUUGAAGUUCUACAACAAUCCUAAGCCAAGAAGAUGGAUUAUAGCAACAAGGCUGAUCCCAACCGUUAAGACAAAGAAAGCUCACAGAACCAAGCUAAAGAAAGUGUUCCAGAACAAUUUGGAGAGGAAGAUCAAGGCUAAGAAACCAGUUGCAGCCAACAGAAGUUACACAAGAGCAAAAUCAAUCAGUAGUAGCUCACAUGGGGAGGACAAAGCAAACACUUGAGCCAAACUGAAAAGUAAGGCUAUGUAUGUCUUCUAAAACUUUAAAGGUGAACGACACCAUCUGUUAUAGGUGCCAUCAGAGAGGACAUUUUGCUAAGACUUGUCCAGCUAGAAAAUCAGAAACAACUUCAUCAACUAAAUUGGAUAUAGAAGAAACUAUAGAAGUAGAUAAGUUGAAUUUUGAAAUUUCCAAUUCAAGAUUGAUGCACUUGUCUUUCCCGAAGUAUAAUAAUACAGGUUAAGAUCAUGGAGAGGAGCAUCACGAGGUCAAAAUCUAUCAGCCUACCCCUGAGGAAGAUCCAGUCGUCACCAGCUUCACUUCGAUCCAAUCCAAGAAGAGCCACCAGAUCACACAUUAUAUCCAAAUGCCAUGGCAUCAGGUAAGUCUGUUUCUCCAAUUUCUGAAGAUUCUAACACUCUGAAUCUUGUUACUUCCAGAAAUGUGUGAGAAAAUUACUGAAUCUGUUGCUUGUCUUGAACAACAAAACUGUGACCAAGUUAUUGCCUUACCUAAGUGAAUCAAGUUCCUCUGUUUCAAAAUAAUUCCGUGACUGUUAUAAUCCACUUGUAUCUUGUCGAGAGUGAAGAGAAAAAAGCAGGAACGAAUGAGAGGCAACAAGAACCCCAACUGAACAAUGGAGAAACAAAGUGUGAAAGAGGACAUUUCACAAAGACGAAUGAAUUUCGGCCCAAGGGAGUCUGCCACAAACCUUGGAGAGGCGUCAUUGCUUCCUUUUAGAUCAAAUAAGAACCACCAGAUGCCCAGCAUAAAUCAUAUGGGAGCCACAUACAAGCCACAAGCUGAGGUAAACAAGUUUUGAGGAAAACAAUUCUUGAAGAUAGAAGGUAUGAUACGGACAUCAACCCAUAAAAACGUCUCAUGGUGAUCUCAACACUUGGAAGAACUAGGUGCAACGGAUAUCAGGGUCGUCUAACCAAGGGUAAAUGAGAGAUGAUCUCCCUUGUUGAACAAUUUAAUGGCAAAGGGGAGAGGACUGUCAUUAAUUUAUUCUCUCUAGUCUCCUAUCCCAUCAACAAGAAGCCAUUAGAAUGUUUUGGUUCAGUUAAUUCAACUCUUAUUCGAUCCGGAACAAGAGUUACCCAAAGCAUGCUUUUCAAAGUACCCGAGAAGACAUAUGAGCAUUGUUCAGCACAAACAAAGUACAUGAUAACCUAUUCCACCCAAAGACCACUUCUAAUACAUUCCUACCUCAUCUAGAUCACGCCUCGAAGUGGAAACAGUCCGAUCAGAGUUCAGACGAAGGAGUUAUCCAGUUUUCAAAUCAUCAGGCAAACCCGAGUUUACUCGAUUCGGACAUACGCGAGCCUAUUGGAGGAUUCCGACGAAACUAGAACGAAACAAUCUAUGAAACGACUUUUUCUGGAAACUUGAUCA